UGGGCAGCAAGUGUUGUAGGGGAGUAGCCUUUGAUCCUUUGUUACUGGGGCGUAGGGAAAUGGUUUUUUUUUUUUUCUUUUUUGAUCCAGCUUUAGGAAGUUAGCACAAAUCGGCUUUAGGUUCCCUGACCCCAGACCCAGGUGUUUCUUGAUCCAGCUUUAGGACGUUAGCACAAAUUAGCCUUAGGCUACCUGCCCCCAGACCCCGGUAUUUUCGUUUUUAUGAUCCAGCUUUAGGAAAUUAGCGGGAAUUGGCUCUCAAUUCCCUGCCUCCAGACCUUAUUCUCCUGCCUCAAGAUCUCUGAGAUAGCUGUGGUCGAAUGGAAGGGAGAAUUCAACCCUGCAAGUUAGGAGACCAUUGCUAGUACUGGUUCAGUCACUAAGGACCUGUGGUGGUAUUGCAGAAUGUCCCUUCACCAACGGUUCCUCUGUUUGUACGGUAAGUCCCAUCAUGUCUAUGGACUUCAGUUUCCAGACAUGAAACACAAGAGGCUUGGACGAGAUUAGAAAUCAAGAACUCGAAUGCGUAUGGUCAGAGCCACGAGGAAUUCCUGUGAGCAUUCCUCUUCAAGAUGGAAGAAAAAGGGAAUAUUUCACAACCCCAAUGGUGAAACGUCUGCCUAUAGCCAACAAUACAAUCUUCUUGCUCUGUCACCCAGGCUGAAAUGCAGUGGCGCCAUCUCGUCUCACUCGGCUCACUACAACCUCCGCCUCCCGGGUUCAAGCAAUUCUUGUGCCUCAGUCACCCAAGUAGCUAGAAUUACAGUCAUGCGUCACCAUGCCCAGCUAAUUUUUUUAUUUUUAGUAGAGACAUGUUUCACCAUGUUGCCAAGGCUGGUCUGGAAUUCCUCGCCUCAAGUGAUCCGCCCACCUCAGCCUCCCAAAUUGUUGGGAUUACAGACGUGAGCCACUGUGCUCAGCCCACAAUUACUUUUAAAAUAAAUCAAGAGCCUUUUAUACUUGUGUAAGACUUCUUUGAGCUCUGUUUUACUUCUGUAAAAAUGUUUGAGAAGAAUGACACUGUACAAGCUCUCCAUUCUGGCUAGCUGUGCUGACUUCGGCAUUAUGUCCCGUUAAGGCUGUCUAGGCUCUGGUUCUCUUGGUAGCCUCCACUCACCAGUGUAAGUCCUUGAUCUCUUCUUUAUCAGGGGGAUUUACCAUACCUAUACUGCCCAAGAGUAAGUGAUUUGAUCUAGAAAGCUUGCAGCUUCCUUAAACUCUUCUAGGUAGCCAGAUUCACUUAACUUUCUCAAUGAGCUUGAUUUGGCCCUCUUGGAAAAGCUACCGAACUAACAGCUGCCAUUGCAGGGGUGCGAAUGAUGCCUCCUAAUUAUUAAGAUUCCUCCUCUGGAUCAUGGCUGGAAAGAAUUCCUAAACAAAGUAUACCAAGGUGUAUGUUUAAAAAAUAAGUUUAAAUAUGCGUAAAAGAGAAGUAAGGUAAAUUCCCAAACGAAGGACGAAGAGAUAAGUAUAUCUGUAGAAAACAUAAACUUGAUGCCAGAUAUUUCUUCAAGGAUUGAUUAAAGGGCAAAAACCUUUUCUGAGAAAGUCACUCGCCAUGCCAUCUAGCUUAUAACCAAGAGACAAAACUAGAGAAAUAUUGGUUAAAGAAAGAUACGUUAAAACAGUGAGUCCUUUACCUAGGAGGAGAGUGCUGUGCUGUGGGGGUUAUUAAGAGGCUUAAAAAAUUCAACUUUAUGAAAGUAAAUCUGAUCUACAACAAAUAUAUCAUGUUAAAUAUACAAUUUGAUGAGUUUUCCUAAAUAUAUACACCCAAAUAAUCUCUCCUACAAUCAAUAUGUAUAAUAUUUCCAUUAUCCUCCAAAUUUCCUCAUCUGUUUUUGUAGUAAAUCUCACUCUACUACAGAUCCUGGGCAACUGUUGAUUUGCUUUCUGACAAUAUAGGUUUUUUUUUUUUUCUCUUCAAAAAUCUCAUUUAAAUGGAAUCAUGCAGUGUCUGUUUUUUUGUGUCUGUCUUUUUUGCUUAGCGUAAUGUUCUUCAGCUUCAUCAAUGUUGUUGCCUACGUUAGUAUUUAUUCCAUUCUAUUGCUGAACAGUAG
rnacentral:lncRNA from 1 species